UACAGAGGUCCCAAGCGUUGUUCGGAUUCAUUGGGCGUAAAGGGUGCGUAGGCGGCGCGGUAAGUCGGGUGUGAAAGCUCGGAGCUCAACUCCGAAAUGGCAUUGGAAACUACCUUGCUCGAGGGUUGGAGGGGGGACUGGAAUACUUGGUGUAGCAGUGAAAUGCGUAGAUAUCAAGUGGAACACCAGUGGCGAAGGCGAGUCCCUGGACAACUCCUGACACUGAGGCACGAAAGCUAGGGGAGCAAACAGG
rnacentral:rRNA from 1 species